UUGAGCCGUAUGCGGGGAAACUCGCACGUACGGUUCUUAGGGGGCGGGGCGGCAGUAAUGCCGUCCUGCUACCCGAC
rfam:Tepidiphilus thermophilus strain JCM 19170 genome assembly, contig: Ga0061068_129